GAAGGAACUAGGCAAAAUGGUGCCGUAACUUCGGGAGAAGGCACGCUGACACGUAGGUGAAGUGAUUUACUCAUGGAGCUGAAGUCAGUCGAAGAUACCAGCUGGCUGCAACUGUUUAUUAAAAACACAGCACUGUGCAAAAUCGUAAGAUGACGUAUACGGUGUGACGCCUGCCCGGUGCCGGAAGGUUAAUUGAUGGGGUU
rnacentral:rRNA from 1 species